GGUUGUGUGGCUUAAUGGUUAUAGUGCUUCCUCUUAUGGUUUGUACGAGGUCGAGGGUUCGAUCCCUGUUGUUGCUA